UACGUAGGGUGCGAGCGUUGUCCGGAUUUAUUGGGCGUAAAGAGCUUGUAGGCGGCUCGUCGCGUCGGGUGUGAAAACUUGCGGCUUAACCGCAAGCCUGCACCCGAUACGGGCGGGCUAGAGUUCGGCAGGGGAGACUGGAAUUCCUGGUGUAGCGGUGGAAUGCGCAGAUAUCAGGAGGAACACCGGUGGCGAAGGCGGGUCUCUGGGCCGAUACUGACGCUGGAGAAGCGAAAGCGUGGGGAGCGAACAGG
rnacentral:rRNA from 1 species